CCUACGGGUGGCUGCAGUCGAGAAUAUUCCGCAAUGCACGAAAGUGUGACGGAGCGACGCCGCGUGUCGAAAGAAGGCCUUCGGGUCGUAAACGACUUUUAUCAGGGACGAAUUUUGACGGUACCUGAAGAAUAAGGGGUUGCUAACUCUGUGCCAGCAGCAGCGGUAAUACAGAGACCCCGAGCAUUAUCCGGAUUUAUUGGGCGUAAAGCGUUCGUAGGUGGUUUCGUAAGUCAUUUGUUAAAUCUUCAGGCUUAACCUGGAGGCUGCAGGUGAUACUGCGAGGCUAGAGUAUGGGAGAGGCAGACGGAAUGCCCGGUGUAGCGGUAAAAUGCGUUAAUAUCGGGUAGAACACCAAAGGCGAAAGCAGUCUGCUGGAACAUUACUGACACUGAGGAACGAAAGCGUGGGUAGCGAAAGGGAUUAGAUACCCCUGUAGU
rnacentral:rRNA from 1 species